GCGUCCGUAGCUCAGUUGGUUAGAGCACCACCUUGACAUGGUGCGGGUCGGUGGUUCGAGUCCACUCGGACGCACCA
rnacentral:tRNA from 1 species